ACGAUGUGGAAAGGCAUAGACAGCUAGGAGGUUGGCUUAGAAGCAGCCACCCUUUAAAGAAAGCGUAAUAGCUCACUAGUCGAGUCGGUCUGCGCGGAAGAUGUAACGGGGCUAAACUAUGCACCGAAGCUGCGGAUUCAUCUUAGGAUGAGUGGUAGGGGAGCGUUCUGUAAGCCGUUGAAGGUGAAUCGUAAGGUUUGCUGGAGGUAUCAGAAGUGCGAAUGCUGACAUGAGUAACGAUAAGGGGAGUGAAAAACUCCCCCGCCGAAAGACCAAGGUUUCCUGUCC
rnacentral:rRNA from 1 species